rnacentral:rRNA from 1 species
GUUUCCUACGGGGGGCAGCAGUGGGGAAUAUUGCACAAUGGGGGGAACCCUGAUGCAGCGACGCCGCGUGGGCGAGGAAGUAUUUCGGUAUGUAAAGCCCUAUCGGCAGGGAAGAAGAAAUGACGGUACCUGAAUAAGAAGCCCCGGCUAACUACGUGCCAGCAGCCGCGGUAAUACGUAGGGGGCAAGCGUUAUCCGGAUUUACUGGGUGUAAAGGGAGCGCAGACGGCAGUGCAAGUCUGGAGUGAAAGCCCGGGGCCCAACCCCGGAACUGCCCUGGAAACGGGGCGGCU